GACGAACGCUGGCGGCGCGCCUAACACAUGCAAGUCGAACGGAGUGUUGAGAGCUUGCUCUUGACACUUAGUGGCGAACGGGUGAGUAACGCGUGAGCAAUCGUGCCUCAGAGUGGGGGACAACAGUUGGAAACGACUGCUAAUACCGCAUAAGCCCACGGUUCCGCAUGGAACAGCGGGAAAAGAUUUAUCGCUUUGAGAUGAGCUCGCGUCCGAUUAGCUGGAUGGUGAGGUAACGGCCCACCAUGGCGACGAUCGGUAGCCGGACUGAGAGGUUGACCGGCCACAUUGGGACUGAGACACGGCCCAGACUCCUACGGGAGGCAGCAGUGGGGAAUAUUGCACAAUGGGGGAAACCCUGAUGCAGCAACGCCGCGUGAGUGAUGACGGCUCGGUGUAAAGCUCU
rnacentral:rRNA from 1 species